UUGACCUUGCAGUGAUAUGAUCUAUGGAGAGGAAAAAGGGCAGAGCCCUCGGCCUUGGUCCUUAAUUUUGCAUACCCAUCCUUCGCCGUUGCAUGGCCAUUAGUUCUCUAUAUGUAGAUAUUAUUCAGUAGAUUUGAUUCAUCAUAGAUGUAGUAUAAAAUCAUUUUUAGAUGUUUUCAUUUUAUUCUAUUUUAUAAAAUAAAAUAAAGAUGAUUUUAUCAUAAUGAUGAAUAUUAUCCAUCCAAUAAUUUUUCCUAAUGUACGGAGGGCUGUGUUGUUGUCGGCAAGAAUGUCACAAGUAAACAAAAGGUCAGAACUACCGCAAUUAUUAGGCCUUUUUGUGCUGCCUAGGCUGCACCUAGAAGAGUACGGCCCGCUGCGUGCCAAUCAAGUGCGAUCAUUGGAGAGCCACAGGUGGUUUCCACUAGAUGUUGACGUUGCCUUGGCUUGACUUAAAUUAUUCGUUCGGUUCCUCGUGAUGCACGUCAGCUGCUCUCUUUUUUUUUCUGUUAAACUGAAAGUACAUCAAAAAAAAA
rnacentral:lncRNA from 1 species